UAAGUCUUUGAUAUUGUAAACAAUGUUCAAUACUAAAUGUAAUAUUUAUUACUUGAGCUUUCUCAAAUAAAGAAUAUUAAUUAAUUCAACUAAUGAUAAUUCGAUUUGAUUAAUAACAGACCUGAUUAGUUGAACACCCAAAGCAGGUGAUCCAUAUUAUCCAUGGGUUUAAAUAAAAAGAGGAGAGAAAAAAAUUAAUAGAAGUUUAAAUGGGUGCACUUCACUACUAUAAUUAUAUUAAGGUUUUCUAAUCCCUAGCAUGUAGGUUAGGUCUGGGCUAUGGAUACCAGCUUUUGCAUAAUAUGCAAUAAGUUUCCAAGCGGUGACCGUCAAUAAAGGUAGACUUAACCUUGGAAAUUAAAUUGAUGGCUUUCCAUUGUGAUCUGGUUCUGUCGCAUGCAUUAUUAAGUUGUUGGAAAUUCUUUCCAACUUACCCGAAGCUUUCAAGGGUCUUAAUUUCCAUCAUGUUGAACCUGAAAUCUAACUUAUUUGUUCCUUUCGUAAUCUUAAUUAGCAGUACUGCAUGUUAUCAAGAUGAGAUGACAUGAUGACUGUACAGCCCAAAUUCUUGCCCGGGCCCAAUAUAACAUCCCAGCCCAAAUACCAAAACUCAGCUAAAACCCAAAAAUACUCCAAGCCCAAAAAUUAACAGCCCAAAUACAACCCAAAAUCAAAAAAAAAAGAAGAAAAAAAGAAAAAACCCUAAUCUCUUCACCUAUCAGCCGCACUUGUCCCAUCCACCACCGACAUCUGCCAUCACCUACUCAGCACUGCCCCUGCAAAAGGAACACGCAAACAAUAUGAAAUAAUAUAAAAAUACAUGUAAAGGCUUUAUAAAAGCCGAAGAGAUCAGAUUGUAAAGAUGUUGGGAUUUUUCUUUUUCAAAAUACAAAAGAAAGAACAUCAUCAAAAAGACUCAAACACUAACUCAAAAAUCACAGCAAGAUAUAUCAAAGAACGAAUCAAAGGUCUAUUUACUUUUCUAUUUUAUUUUUAUUUUUUUCUCUCUUCGAAUUUGCUUGUACAUAUAAUCUUUAUUCUAUUAAAAACAAUAUAUAUAUAUUAGAUAUAAAUAUAUAAAAAAAUAAUUACCUCUAGGCGAUUUCCGGCCACCGUGUACUGUAGCCGGCACGGCGGAGCCACGGUGGGGGUGGCCGGAUCCCUUGGCCGGUUCUGGAUUUUCCCCAGAGAGAAAAUCCCCCUUUUCCCUAUUUUUUUUCUUCUCAAACUCAGAAAAAAUGAAAUUUUCAAAAAAAAUUCAACUUUUA
rnacentral:lncRNA from 1 species